GUGGGGAAUAUUGGACAAUGGGCGAAAGCCUGAUCCAGCCAUGCCGCGUGUGUGAAGAAGGUCUUCGGAUUGUAAAGCACUUUAAGUUGGGAGGAAGGGCAGUAAGUUAAUACCUUGCUGUUUUGACGUUACCGACAGAAUAAGCACCGGCUAACUUCGUGCCAGCAGCCGCGGUAAUACGAAGGGUGCAAGCGUUAAUCGGAAUUACUGGGCGUAAAGCGCGCGUAGGUGGUUUUGUAAGUUGGAGGUGAAAUCCCCGGGCUCAACCUGGGAACUGCCUCCAAAACUGCAUGACUAGAGUACGGUAGAGGGUAGUGGAAUUUCCUGUGUAGCGGUGAAAUGCGUAGAUAUAGGAAGGAACACCAGUGGCGAAGGCGACUACCUGGACUGAUACUGACACUGAGGUGCGAAAGCGUGGGGAGCAAACAGGAUUAGAAAACCCGGGUAGUCC
rnacentral:rRNA from 1 species